rnacentral:rRNA from 1 species
GGUAGUCCACGCCGUAAACGAUGGAUACUAGCUGUUGGAGGUAUCGACCCCUUCAGUAGCGAAGCUAACGCGUUAAGUAUCCCGCCUGUGGAGUACGGUCGCAAGACUAAAACAUAAAGGAAUUGACGGGGACCCGCACAAGCGGUGGAUCGUGUUCUUUAAUUCGAUGAUAAACGAAGAACCUUACCAGGGCUUGACAUCCAGGGAAGCACUACGAAAGUAGAGUGUGCCUUUUGGAACCCUGUGACAGAUGAUGCAUGGCCGUCGUCAGCUCGUGUCGUGAGAUGUUUGGUUAAG